GACGAACGCUGGCGGCGUGCUUAACACAUGCAAGUCGAACGGAAAGGCCCUGCUUGCAGGGUACUCGAGUGGCGAACGGGUGAGUAACACGUGGGUGAUCUGCCCUGCACUUCGGGAUAAGCCUGGGAAACCGGGUCUAAUACCGGAUAGGAGCCAUUUUUAGUGUGAUGGUUGGAAAGUUUUUUCGGUGUAGGAUGAGCUCGCGGCCUAUCAGCUUGUUGGUGGGGUAAUGGCCUACCAAGGCGGCGACGGGUAGCCGGCCUGAGAGGGUGGACGGCCACCUUGGGACUGAGAUACGGCCCAGACUCCUACGGGAGGCAGCAGUGGGGAAUAUUGCACAAUGGGCGCAAGCCUGAUGCAGCGACGCCGCGUGGGGGAUGACGGCCUUCGGGUUGUAAACUCCUUUCGCUAGGGACGAAGCUUUUUGUGACGGUACCUAGAUAAGAAGCACCGGCUAACUACGU
rnacentral:rRNA from 1 species